GAGCAGGGCCUGGCUCACAUUUAAACCCCAGGGCUGAGGCCAGGCCGGCAGUCCCCAGCCAGCAGCCAAGAGGGAAGGAGAUCUGUCAGAGUGAACAAGGAGGAGAGGCUUGAAUGUAUGAGCAGCUCCUGAUACUGACAUGGAAAUGGAGCAUACAGAGACUUAAGCCACUUACCCGUGGGUGCAGAGGAAACCUAUGGAGAAAUAAGGACUGGAGUCUUAGUUUCUGGAGUCCUAGACCUGUGCCCUAGCCAGUGGACAGUACUUCCUCCAUUCCUUCUCUUCUCUCUGAAUACAGAAAAAAAAGAAGUGAAAGAAACCUGAUAGAACCUGGAAGUAGAUUCUGGCAUAAAACAUACAUAUUCAAAUGGAGUGCUUGGAGUGACUCUUUGGAACAAUGGGAAGGUGAUUUUUCAGUAAAGGGAGCAUCCUACAAAUCAUGGAAUCUAAAUUUUUAGGGAUCUGUCACAAAUGUAUUGUGGGAAACCCACUUAAUCUCUCUUUGUUUUAAUCUCUUCAUCUAUAAAAUUAUGGAUAACACUUUUCUCUAUGGCUCAGGGCAUCCUUGAAGUCCUCUGUAACUGUGACUAUAAAUGACAGUGAAAACCUAUAUAUGAUCAAAUAUCAGUGAAAUCUGGUCAGUCUGACUAUUAAAAAUGUAAAAAAAUAAAA